CUGUCCCCAUGUCACGACAUCCCCAUGUCUGAACAUCCCCAUAUCAUGACAUCCCCGUGUCCCACUGUCCCCAUGUCACAAUAUCCCCAUGUCACGACAUCCCCAUGUCACGACAUCCCCUUGUCUCAUUGUCCCCAUGUCAUGAUAUAACCGUGUCACAACAUCCCCACGUCACGAUAUUGCCAUGUUACGACAUCCCCAUGUCUCACUGUCCCCAUGUUACAGCAUCCCCAUGUCACGACAUCCCCAUGUCAUGAUAUAACCAUGUCUCACUGUCCCCAUGUCCCACAUCCCCAUGUCACGACAUCCCCGUGUCACGAUAUCCCUUUAUCUCAACAUCCCCAUGUUGUGACAUAAAGGUUAUGACAUCCCCAUGUCCCACUGUCCCCAUGUCACGAUAUCCCCAUGUCCCACAGUCCCCAUGUCACGAUAUAAACAGCUUGACAUCCCCAUGCCCCACUGUCCCCAUAUCAUGUCGUCCCCAUGUCAUAGUCCCCAUAUCACAACAUCCCCAUGUCACGACAUCCCCAUAUCAUGACAUCCCCAUUUCUAACUGUCCCCAUGUCGUGAUAUCCCCAUGUCACGACAUUCCCAUGUCCAAAUGUCCCCAUGUCGUGACAUCCCCACGUCACGUCCCCAUGUCACAAUAUCCCCAUGUCACAACGUCCCCAUUUCUAACUGUCCCUAUAUCACGACAUCCCCAUAUCGUGACAUCCACGUGUCACAACAGCUCAUCCCCACGUCAGAUCCCCCAUGUUCAUGUCCAUGCCCCAUGCUCACGACAUUCCCCAUGUCACAGUCCAAUAUCACGACAUCCCCAUGUCUCGUUGUCCCCAUGUCAUGAUAUCCCCUUAUCUCAAGAUCCCCAUAUCAUGACACCAUCAUGUCACGACAUCCCCAUGUCCUCACAUCCCCAUGUCACGACAUCCCCAUGUCCUAUUAUUCCCAUGUCCCACUGUCCCCAUGUCACGACAUCCCCAUGUCACGACAUCCCCAUGUCUCGUUGUCCCCAUGUCAUGAUAUCCCCUGAUCUCAACAACCCCAUAUCAAGACACAAACGUCAUGACAUCCCCAUGUCCCACUGUCCCCAUAUCACGACAUCCCCAUAUCACGACAUCCCCAUAUCACGACAUCCCCAUAUCACGACAUCCCCAUAUCAUGACAUCCCCAUAUC
rnacentral:lncRNA from 1 species